rnacentral:rRNA from 1 species
UACGUAGGGUGCGAGCGUUGUCCGGAAUUAUUGGGCGUAAAGGGCUCGUAGGCGGUUUGUCGCGUCGGGAGUGAAAACCAGGUGCUAACACCUGGCUUGCUUUCGAUACGGGCAGACUAGAGGUAUGCAGGGGAGAACGGAAUUCCUGGUGUAGCGGUGAAAUGCGCAGAUAUCAGGAGGAACACCGGUGGCGAAGGCGGUUCUCUGGGCAUUACCUGACGCUGAGGCACGAAAGCGUGGGGAGCAAACAGG